ACCAAGCGGUGGAUUACUUCCAGCAGAUGACAUGCUCGGGCUGUGCUCCAGACUACGUUGCCUACAACACGCUCAUGAAUGGGCUGAGGAAGCAAGGGAGGCACAUCCAGGCGGACAGGCUCACACAGGCCAUGAAGGAGAAGGGGUUCUUGUCGGAUUGCUUCAAGGCGCCGCUCAGAGCCUAAGGUAGCUGUCAGCACCCUUUUGCAACUUCCGCGACAAGACGACUUCCAUUUCUUGCAUGCCUGUGAUCCAUCUUAUUGUCUUGAGUUAUCGAUCCAUCUUGGAGAAAAAAAAGGGGGAAAGGGGGUGACCUUCUUCUUCUCAAACGUUCGUUAGUUGACAAUGCAUGCUACAACUUCCACAAGAUCCAGCAUAGGAUCUGGGUGUCCUGCCUGCUUGAGACGCUCCAUUAUGUUACACUUGUUAGAGGCGUCCCGUUCUGUCCUGGAAGUAAAAACCACUGUUAGCAUCCGACCGUUGAUCGCGGAUUUGCUGUUGCAAAUACUCCCGGCACUUCUCCAGAGCUUCGCGCAUCCAGGCGUGACGAACUUUCUCAAUGGCGGUGGCAAUUGUGAACUGAAA